rnacentral:rRNA from 1 species
AUUGAACGCUGGCGGCAUGCCUUACACAUGCAAGUCGAACGGCAGCACGGGAGCAAUCCUGGUGGCGAGUGGCGAACGGGUGAGUAAUAUAUCGGAACGUGCCCAGUCGUGGGGGAUAACGUAGCGAAAGCUACGCUAAUACCGCAUACGAUCUAUGGAUGAAAGCGGGGGAUCGCAAGACCUCGCGCGAUUGGAGCGGCCGAUAUCAGAUUAGGUAGUUGGUGAGGUAAAGGCUCACCGAGCCAACGAUCUGUAGCUGGUCUGAGAGGACGACCAGCCACACUGGAACUGAGACACGGUCCAGACUCCUACGGGAGGCAGCAGUGGGGAAUUUUGGACAAUGGGCGCAAGCCUGAUCCAGCAAUGCCGCGUGCAGGAUGAAGGCCUUCGGGUUGUAAACUGCUUUUGUACGGAACGAAACGGUGAGCUCUAAUACAGUUUGCUAAUGACGGUACCGUAAGAAUAAGCACCGGCUAACUACGUG